AGAGUUUGAUCCUGGCUCAGGACGAACAUUGGCGGCGCGCCUAAUGCAUGCAAGUCGAGCGAACUCGUUUUCUUCGGAAAGCACAUAGUUAGCGGCGAACGGCUGAGUAACGCGUAAGUAACCUGCCUCGAAGAGGGGAAAAACUAUGAGAAAUCAUAGCUAAUUCCGCGUAAUGUCANUUAAUUAAUUUAANUGAAGAAAGAUUUAUCGCUUUGAGAUGGGCUUGCGUCCUAUCAGGUAGUUGGUAAGGUAAUGGCUUACCAAGCCUAAGACGGGUAGCUGGAGUGAGAGCUUGACCAGCCAGAGGGGGACUGAGACACGGCCCCCACUCCUACGGGAGGCAGCAGCAGGGAAUCUUGCACAAUGGGCGAAAGCCUGAUGCAGCGACGCCGCGUGAGGGAUGAAGGUUCUAGGAUCGUAAACCUCUUUUCUUAGGGAAUAGUUUGGAAGGUACCUAAGGAAUAAGUCACGGCUAACUACGUGCCAGCAGCCGCGGUAAUACGUAGGUGGCAAAUGUUGUCCGGAAUCAUUGGGCGUAAAGGGUCCGUAGGUGGCAUGAAUAGUCUUAUGUGAAAUCUCUUGGCUCAACCAAGAAACGCCAUAAGAAACUUUCAUGCUAGAGAUCAUCAGAGGGAGGUAGAAUUCCAGGUGUAGUGGUGAAAUGCGUAGAUAUCUGGAGGAAUACCAAUGGCGAAAGCAGCCUCCUGGGGUGAAUCUGACAUUGAGGGACGAAAGCGUGGGUAGCAAACCGGAUUAGAUACCCGGGUAGUCCAUGCCGUAAACGAUGAAUACUGGGUCUUCGGGGAAUCGACCCCCUGUGGACCGAAGCUAACGCGUUAAGUAUUCCGCCUGGGGAGUACGGUCGCAAGACUAAAACUCAAAGGAAUUGACGGGGGCCCGC
rnacentral:rRNA from 1 species